rnacentral:rRNA from 1 species
UACGUAUGGAGCAAGCGUUAUCCGGAUUUACUGGGUGUAAAGGGAGCGUAGGCGGCAGGGCAAGUCUGAUGUGAAAACCCAGGGCUCAACCUUGGGACUGCAUUGGAAACUGUUCGGCUGGAGUGUCGGAGAGGCAAGCGGAAUUCCUAGUGUAGCGGUGAAAUGCGUAGAUAUUAGGAGGAACACCAGUGGCGAAGGCGGCUUGCUGGACGAUGACUGACGCUGAGGCUCGAAAGCGUGGGGAGCAAACAGG